rnacentral:rRNA from 1 species
CAAAUGAAUUGACGGGUCCCGCACAAGCAGCGGAGCGUGUGGUUUAAUUCGUUGCUACACGAAGAACCUUACCUGGGUUUGACAUAGCAGUGGUAGGGAAGAGAAAUCGGACCGACCCUUCGGGAGCUGUUACAGGUGUUGCAUGGCUGUCGUCAGCUCGUGUCGUGAGAUGUUCGGUUAAGUCCGCUAACGAGCGCAACCCGCGUUGUGUGUUAUAUGUGUCACGCAAUACCGCCGGGUAUUAAGCCGGAGGAAGGUGCGGAUGACGUCAAGUCAGCAUGACCUUUAUAUCCAGGGCUACACACACGCUACAAUGGACAGUACAACAGGUUGCCAAGCCGCGAGGCGGAGCCAAUCCUCUAAAGCUGUCCUCAGUUCAGAUUGCAGGCUGCAACUCGCCUGCAUGAAGUUGGAGUUGCUAGUAACCGCAGGUCAGCUAUACUGCGGUGAAUACGUUCCCGGGGAUU